rnacentral:rRNA from 1 species
UACGAAGGUGGCAAGCGUUGUUCGGAUUUACUGGGCGUAAAGGGAGCGUAGGUGGUUAGGUAAGCCCUCCGGGAAAUCUUCAGGCUUAACCUGAAAAGGUCGGGGGGGACUGCCUGGCUAGAGGACGGGAGAGGAGCGCGGAAUUCCCGGUGUAGAGGUGAAAUUCGUAGAUAUCGGGAGGAACACCAGUGGCGAAGGCGGCGACCUGGACAGAUAUUGACGCUGAGGUGCGAAAGCGUGGGGAGCAAACAGG